AAAGGGUCCGUAGGCGGAUCUGUAAGUCAGUGGUGAAAUCUCACAGCUUAACUGUGAAACUGCCAUUGAUACUGCAGGUCUUGAGUGUUGUUGAAGUAGCUGGAAUAAGUAGUGUAGCGGUGAAAUGCAUAGAUAUUACUUAGAACACCAAUUGCGAAGGCAGGUUACUAAGCAACAACUGACGCUGAUGGACGAAAGCGUGGGGAGCGAACAGGAUUAGAUACCCUGGUAGUCCACGCCGUAAACGAUGCUAACUCGUUUUUGGGCUUUCGGGUUCAGAGACUAAGCGAAAGUGAUAAGUUAGCCACCUGGGGAGUACGAACGCAAGUUUGAAACUCAAAGGAAUUGACGGGGGCCCGCACAAGCGGUGGAUUAUGUGGUUUAAUUCGAUGAUACGCGAGGAACCUUACCAAGGCUUAAAUGGGAAAUGACAGGUUUAGAAAUAGACUUUUCUUCGGACAUUUUUCAAGGUGCUGCAUGGUUGUCGUCAGCUCGUGCCGUGAGGUGUUAGGUUAAGUCCUGCAACGAGCGCAACCCCUGUCACUAGUUGCCAUCAUUAAGUUGGGGACUCUAGUGAGACUGCCUACGCAAGUAGAGAGGAAGGUGGGGAUGACGUCAAAUCAUCACGGCCCUUACGCCUUGGGCCACACACGUAAUACAAUGGCCGGUACAGAGGGCAGCUACACAGCGAUGUGAUGCAAAUCUCGAAAGCCGGUCUCAGUUCGGAUUGGAGUCUGCAACUCGACUCUAUGAAGCUGGAAUCGCUAGU
rnacentral:rRNA from 1 species